rfam:Camelus ferus unplaced genomic scaffold scaffold2404, whole genome shotgun sequence.
GGUGGGGUACAGCUCAGUGGCAGAGUAUGUGCUUAACAUGCAUGAGGUCCUGUGUUUAAUUCCCAGCACUUCCA